rnacentral:rRNA from 1 species
AGCAGCCGCGGUAAUUCCAGCUCCAAUAGCGUAUAUUAAAGUUGUUGCAGUUAAAAAGCUCGUAGUUGAAUUUCGGGGUUAGUAGGUUGGUCAUGCCUCUGGUAUGUACUGGUCUCACUGAUUCCUCCUUCCUGAUGAGCCGUAAUGCCAUUAAUUUGGUGUUGCGGGGAAUUUGGACUGUUACUUUGAAAAAAUUAGAGUGUUUAAAGCAAGCUAACGCUUGAAUACAUUAGCAUGGAAUAAUGAAAUAGGGCGUUCGAUCCUAUUUUGUUGGUUUCUAGGAUUGACGUAAUGAUUAAUAGGGAUAGUUGGGGGCAUUAGUAUUCAGUUGUCAGAGGUGAAAUUCUUAGAUUUAUUGAAGACUAACUACUGCGAAAGCAUUUGCCAAGGAUGUUUUCAUUAAUCAAGAACGAAAGUUAGGGGAUCGAAGACGAUCAGAUACCGUCGUAG